UAUGAUCCAGAGUACCACGGGACACGUGAAACCCUGUGGGAAGCAGGAGGGACCACCCUCCAAGGCUAAAUACUACCUAGUGACCGAUAGCGUAUAGUACCGUGAGGGAAAGGGGAAAAGAACCCCGUGAGGGGAGUGAAAUAGAACCUGAAACCCUGCACUUACAAGCUGUGGAAGCACAUUUCUUGUGUGACCGCGUACUUUUUGUAGAACGGGCCAACGAGUUACGUUAAGUAGCAAG
rnacentral:rRNA from 1 species